GGUUCAUUGGUCUAAGGGUGUGAGUCUCAUUCUGGGUGUGAGAGGUCCUGGGUUCAAAUCCCAGAUGAGCCC
rnacentral:tRNA from 1 species